rnacentral:rRNA from 1 species
AUGAACGCUAGCGACAGGCUUAACACAUGCAAGUCGAGGGGCAGCACAGGUAGCAAUACCGGGUGGCGACCGGCGCACGGGUGAGUAACGCGUAUGCAACUUGCCUAUCAGAGGGGGAUAACCCGGCGAAAGUCGGACUAAUACCGCAUGAAGCAGGGGCCCCGCAUGGGGAUAUUUGCUAAAGAUUCAUCGCUGAUAGAUAGGCAUGCGUUCCAUUAGGCAGUUGGCGGGGUAACGGCCCACCAAACCGACGAUGGAUAGGGGUUCUGAGAGGAAGGUCCCCCACAUUGGUACUGAGACACGGACCAAACUCCUACGGGAGGCAGCAGUGAGGAAUAUUGGUCAAUGGGCGUAAGCCUGAACCAGCCAAGUCGCGUGAGGGAUGAAGGUUCUAUGGAUCGUAAACCUCUUUUAUAAGGGAAUAAAGUGCGGGACGUGUCCCGUUUUGUAUGUACCUUAUGAAUGAGGAUCGGCUAACUCCGUGCCAGCAGCCGCGGUAAUACGGAGGAUCCGAGCGUUAUCCGGAUUUAUUGGGUUUAAAGGGUGCGUAGGCGGCCUUUUAAGUCAGCGGUGAAAGUCUGUGGCUCAACCAUAGAAUUGCCGUUGAAACUGGGGGGCUUGAGUAUGUUUGAGGCAGGCGGAAUGCGUGGUGUAGCGGUGAAAUGCAUAGAUAUCACGCAGAACCCCGAUUGCGAAGGCAGCCUGCCAAGCCAUUACUGACGCUGAUGCACGAAAGCGUGGGGAUCAAACAGGAUUAGAUACCCUGGUAGUCCACGCAGUAAACGAUGAUCACUAGCUGUUUGCGAUACACUGUAAGCGGCACAGCGAAAGCGUUAAGUGAUCCACCUGGGGAGUACGCCGGCAACGGUGAAACUCAAAGGAAUUGACGGGGGCCCGCACAAGCGGAGGAACAUGUGGUUUAAUUCGAUGAUACGCGAGGAACCUUACCCGGGUUUGAACGCAUUCGGACCGAGGUGGAAACACCUUUUCUAGCAAUAGCCGUUUGCGAGGUGCUGCAUGGUUGUCGUCAGCUCGUGCCGUGAGGUGUCGGCUUAAGUGCCAUAACGAGCGCAACCCUUGCCACUAGUUACUAACAGGUGAUGCUGAGGACUCUGGUGGGACUGCCAGCGUAAGCUGCGAGGAAGGCGGGGAUGACGUCAAAUCAGCACGGCCCUUACAUCCGGGGCGACACACGUGUUACAAUGGCGUGGACAAAGGGAGGCCACCUGGCGACAGGGAGCGAAUCCCCAAACCACGUCUCAGUUCGGAUCGGAGUCUGCAACCCGACUCCGUGAAGCUGGAUUCGCUAGUAAUCGCGCAUCAGCCAUGGCGCGGUGAAUACGUUCCCGGGCCUUGUACACACCGCCCGUCAAGCCAUGGGAGCCGGGGGUACCUGAAGUCCGUAACCGAAAGGAUCGGCCUAGGGUAAAACUGGUGACUGGGGCU